GCCCGGCUAGCUCAGUCGAUAGAACAUGGGACUCUUAANCCCACGGUCGUGGGUUCAUGCCCCACAUUGGGUG
rnacentral:tRNA from 1 species